ensembl:miRNA MIR744 microRNA 744
GGUUGGGCGGGGUGCGGGGCUAGGGCUAACAGCAGGCUCACUGACGGUUUCCCGGAAACCACGCACAUGCUGUUGCCACUAACCUCAACCUUACUCGGUC